GCCCCGAUGGCUCAGCGGAGAGAGCGCCGGUCUACGAAGCCGGAGAUCCCAGGUUCGAAUCCUGGUCGGGGCACCC
rnacentral:tRNA from 1 species